CCGAGAGAGUGACUGGCUGCGAACAUGCACGAGGGUGAUUUGCAAAUCUGAUCACCGCUGUUUAAUAUGUUGUCAACAGAAUAAAAGUCUGUCUUCAAGCGCGAAUUGGUAUC